rnacentral:rRNA from 1 species
UGGGGAAUCUUGGACAAUGGGCGCAAGCCUGAUCCAGCAAUGCCGCGUGCAGGAUGAAGGCCUUCGGGUUGUAAACUGCUUUUGUACGGAGCGAAAAGGUCUGCCCUAAUACGGGGGGCUCAUGACGGUACCGUAAGAAUAAGCACCGCCUAACUACGUGCCAGCAGCCGCGGUAAUACGUAGGGUGCGAGCGUUAAUCGGAAUUACUGGGCGUAAAGCGUGCGCAGGCGGUUAUAUAAGACAGAUGUGAAAUCCCCGGGCUCAACCUGGGACCUGCAUUUGUGACUGUGUAGCUAGAGUGCGGUAGAGGGGGGUGGAAUUCCGCGUGUAGCAGUGAAAUGCGUAGAUAUGCGGAGGAACACCGGUGGCGAAGGCGAUCCCCUGGACCUGAACUGACGCUCAUGCACGAAAGCGUGGGGAGCAAACA